UGGAUUACAAUACAAAUAGUCAGAAAAAGUGGAAAGAUUAACUCUUUUAACAAUUUUUUUUUUUUUUUUUUGGUAAGGAACUUUUUGGAAAAACUGUCUUCUUCAGAUGCUGGAAAUACUUUGCAAAAGUGGCAGCAGUUUGAAGGCAAUGAUGUAUUAAAUACUCUUCGUUGGCGUUGGCUCCUGUUUUUGGCCACAGCUUGGAUUGAAAGGGAAUUCGAGCUCAAAUUGGACCAGAAAAGCAGUUAGCAUCCAUUUCAUUUACCUGACCUUGGAUAAUAGAGAAAUUUGAAAUAUAAAAUAUGAUUGGAUGUAUUAUAGAGUGAUAGUUUAAGUCUGCUAGGUUAGGUCAGCAGGAGUUCAACUUUUUUUUUUUUUUAAUGAUUUGGAAUUUGAUUUCGUAGGAUGACAUGAAUUUUGAAAUAUGAAUCCCUAUCCAAGCAAAAGAAAAACUAAAGAUUGGCAAAUAAUUAGCUUAUGGGAUAAGGCUUAAGUCGAGAAUGGUGGCGGCCCAUUUGGCUCAUUGUGGGGCUUUAACUUUAGGAGAGACCUUGAGCCUGCAAGGUGUGGGGAAGGGUCUGGAGAGGUUGGUUAUCCAAAAUUAUGUUAUAAUUAGCGACACCCGCAGAUUUAGGGAGCUUGAGAGAUCCCUCAACUUUAUGCUCGAUCUAUAUUAUAAUAUAACAGGUACCAUUUUUUA